AGAGUUUGAUCCUGGCUCAGGAUGAACUUUAGCGGCAGGCUUAACACAUGCAAGUCGCGGGGCAGCGCGGGUAGCAAUACCUGGCGGCGACCGGCGGAAGGGUGCGUAACGCGUGAGCAACAUGCCCGUAUCAGGGGGAUAACCGAUGGAAACGUCGCCUAAUACCCCAUAACAACAUUCCUCGCAUGGGGAGUGUUUGAAAGUUACGGCGGAUACGGAUUGGCUCGCGUGACAUUAGCUGGUUGGCGGGGUAACGGCCCACCAAGGCAACGAUGUCUAGGGGUUCUGAGAGGAAGGUCCCCCACACUGGAACUGAGACACGGUCCAGACUCCUACGGGAGGCAGCAGUGAGGAAUAUUGGUCAAUGGACGCAAGUCUGAACCAGCCAUGCCGCGUGCAGGAAUGAGGCCCUAUGGGUCGUAAACUGCUUUUGCUGCGGAGCAAUAAAUGCCACGUGUGACACGAUGAGAGUACGCAGCGAAUAAGCAUCGGCUAACUCCGUGCCAGCAGCCGCGGUAAUACGGAGGAUGCGAGCGUUAUCCGGAUUUAUUGGGUUUAAAGGGUGCGUAGGCUGUUCGUCAAGUCAGUGGUGAAAUGCCGGGGCUCAACCCCGGAGCUGCCAUUGAUACUGUCGGGCUUGAAUCCUGCUGCCGUGGGAGGAAUGAGUAGUGUAGCGGUGAAAUGCAUAGAUAUUACUCAGAACACCGAUUGCGAAGGCAUCUCACGAAACAGGCAUUGACGCUGAGGCACGAAAGCGUGGGGGUCAAACAGGAUUAGAUACCCUGGUAGUCCACGCAGUAAACGA
rnacentral:rRNA from 1 species